UGGGGAAUAUUGCACAAUGGGCGCAAGCCUGAUGCAGCAACGCCGCGUGAACGAUGAAGGUCUUCGGAUCGUAAAGUUCUGUUGCAGGGGAAGAUAAUGACGGUACCCUGUGAGGAAGCGCCGGCUAACUACGUGCCAGCAGCCGCGGUAAUACGUAGGGGGCUAGCGUUAUCCGGAUUUACUGGGCGUAAAGGGUGCGUAGGUGGUCUUUCAAGUCGGUGGUUAAAGGCUACGGCUCAACCGUAGUUAGCCUCCGAAACUGAAAGACUUGAGUGCAGGAGAAGAAAGUGGAAUUCCCAGUGUAACGGUGAAAUGCGUAGAUAUUGGGAGGAACACCAGUAGCGAAGGCGGCUUUCUGGACUGCAACUGACACUGAGGCACGAAAGCGUGGGUAGCAAACAGG
rnacentral:rRNA from 1 species